rnacentral:tRNA from 1 species
GGAGAUGUACUCAAGAGGCUGAAGAGGCUCCCCUGCUAAGGGAGUAGGUCCCGUCAAAGGGGCGCGAGGGUUCAAAUCCCUCCAUCUCCGCCA